AUGGAUAAGUGUUUAUGGCAGAACUAACGAUACAGGCGAAACAGGAAGCCGCUCUGAGCUGGGUCGGCUGCUCGCGUCGCCCUCGCUCUCCUCUCCGAGGGAACGCUCUUCAGCUGACUGGAGCAGGGCAGCCGAGCCAAUCAGAGGCUGCUCUCCUCGCUCAGUCACCAGUCUGGGGUUGAGGAAGGGUUUUUGCUUUUUAUGCUCUGUAUUGGGAAAGCAGGGAAAAUGCCAGGUCUGGACUGCCUCUGGGGAUAACCUCACCCGGCGCGACGUGAAUGAAUAGCUUCUUGCCUGGUAAAGCCGCAGGAAUUGAUGAGGCAGGCGCAGUUCUUCCAAGGAGGCCUUUUCUACCUUUUAGCUCGAGCUGUGGUUUCUGUAGCUAUUUUGUUUUCGUCUUGAAAGAGGUGCUCUGGAUUAUCAGCCCUCCAUGUAUGACAAUUUGUACCUGCAUGGAAUUGAAGACUCAGAGGCUGAAGAAUAAUGUGAUGUGUUACCCAAGAUGGUGUGAACAGAGCUUCAAGCCAAUGGAGAAGACUAGGCCUAAAUAGCUGACCUGGUGAAGUGAAAAAUAAAGCCACACCUGGAGUCUCACAUCCUCAGCAGUCAUUCUCAGUGCCAAUGCAUUUAUGGCUGUAAGUGUGGGGGGUUGCCCAGGUUGAAGCAAAGCUCUCGGAAAGAGGUCUGGUGGAUAGGCCUGGAGAGGCUUUUCUCAGAUGACCAGCUACAGCCCAAGAAUAUAUAGGCACUAAAAGCUGAGAACGGCACUUCCUUUUGGGGGGGUUGGGGAGCCCUCCGCAUAUGUCCCACCACUCUGUGCUGUUGAAGAGAUCUCUGUGGGGUGUGUGGGGCUUACCGUGUGGUAAGUGAUCAUGUUCAGUGUGUUCACGCAGUAAGCCUUGAAUAAGAUCAUCUUGCCUAGGGACUGACAGCUCACUCGGAAUAAGAAUAAAGCGUUAUUAUCCACGGUUAGCACCUCACAUCCCCCCUGUACAUUAGACAUUUUGGUACUGUGAUGUGAGGAAUCUUGUCCAAAGGUAGAUAGUUUACUCCUGUAUCCUAGACGUUAGCUUCUCACCUCUGUAUUUCACAUGUUGUGUAUACAGAGAGGACCAAGAAACAUGGGGGAAUGUAUCUGAGUUUGGGCAUUUUAGAUUUUUAGUCCUGUGAGGACUUUUGGGACAAGUCUGUUACUUCUGUUCUGGUUUCCAGGAAGGUAGUUAAGAAUCAGGAUCAUUCAGAAUUACCCGGAAGCACUAAAGAUCAUUCAGUGCCCCACCGUGCUGCAUGGGAAGAGGGGAUUUCACCCAGGAUGCUCUCCCGUGUUACCUUGAAACACACGAUGGCAUUUCCCCUCCCAGAUGAGUAUAAGGCUAGACCAGGCCAAUUACAGUGGGCCAUGCACACAGACUCCAGCCAUCUUCUGUCUUAAGGUUGACCCAUUCUAUAUUGUACACACUGUGUCUUAAUGUAGGUUCUGAUGGCCGAGGUGUUUUUCACCAACAGAGCCCUUAAGGUCCAUUAUGUAUUUUCACCUGAUUCAUAGUAGAUCUAAAUAUAUCUUUUCCUUGGUAUAGAUGUAUAUUAUGAAUGGGUUUAUUGUGCAUUCUGACAUUUGUGGAAUUGUUCUAGGAAUAGCUUUUAAAAAAUAUUCAGCAUGUUUAUUUCACAAACAAUGCAAGGAAUAGUCUUAAAGGGGUAAAGGAAAGGAGUAGAUAAACCAAAAAAGUUACCUAAAAUCCACCACUCAGACAUACUAGCUCUUAACCUGUGCUGUACAUCUGUUCCGGCUAUCAGUGCACCUAUCUGUAAACGUGUCAUUCUAUACUGCUAUUGUGUGUUACAGUCUGUGCUGUUAAAUGUUUUCCUCACUUGAUAAAAUAUUGAG
rnacentral:lncRNA from 1 species